UUGGAUUACUUUUCUUUAUUCCUUUUUCCUUUUUCCUUUUCCGUUUUUUCCUCCACGCCAUUCAUCUCAUAUCCGCUCUUUCUCUCUCCUUUUCCUUCGAAUUCCUCUAGGCAAUGCCGCAGUCCACCACCUUCUUCCUCAAUUUUUAUCUUCGCUCCCUUCUUCUUCCACCACCUUAUUCCUCCCAAUUUAUCUUUGGAAAAUUUCUGAUCGUGUUCUUCUCUCUCCUGUUCGCAUUUCUUUACAAUUGUUGGCUACCCUAUGGACAUCUGCAAGAGCUCUUCAAUACUACCACAAGGUUGUGCAGAGGAGGAGGAUUGACGCUGGGGUAAUUAGUGUGGAGCGCAAGAUGGUGGUUACACAAUAUGGGAAACAUAUUCUGGAAUUGUUAUUAUAGAGGAAUUGAAGUUGGUGGUGAAAAUACAAAUAUAAUUUCAAACACCAGACUGAGAGUAGCCCUGAUUGUAGCUUGUGCUUCAGUUGGUGUUUUUAUGUACAUGUUAACAUUGUUUUGUUUGUGGAUUUAUCAUAAUAGAAAUUAUGGUAAUAAACCCGGAAAGAAGAAUGCUAGAGAUUCAGAUAAAAUCAGUGGAUUUUCUUUCAAUCAAUCAAAGGGCACCUUGAAUUCUUUGAAAUGAAUAUCAAAUUAAGAGGGUGUGUCUCUAAUAUGGAGUAUAAGAUGCUAGAGGCUGCCACCGGAAACUUCGACGAAAGUAAUGUCGUGGGUGUGGGUGGUUUUGAAUGUGUAGACAAGGCUAAGCUUGAUGGUAAUUUUUAUGUUGCUGUGAAGAAAACCAAUGGGGGUAGUCAAGAAGCCGAAAAAUAAUUCCAGAAUGAGAUCGCGUUAUUAAGUAAAAUUCGGUAGCAGAAUAUUAUAACUCUUCAAGGCUGUUGCAUUCAUGGUGAUUCUCGAUUUCUUGUGUAUGAACUUAUGGAAAAUGGAUGCCUGGAAACUCAGUUGCACGGUAAUAUUUCAAACAUUCUUAUAUGUUAAGUUACUCGGACUUGGGUACUCAUGUUAGACUAGGAAAUGUAUCUAGGAUCAGACUCAGCUGCUCUAUGUGAAAAUUCCCAUGUUAAUAAUCCAAAAUUAAGUGUUAACCAUCUGUAACUAAUGUUUGAGUGUCAAGGAUCCGAUAAGGUGAAAUGUAGAGUCCGGGUUGAUCAGUGUUGAAAGUAUAGUGUCAAGUUGAAAGUUCUAUAGCAUGAGAGGAUGGAGAACCUACUAUUUGUAUUUGAUCAAUGUUUUUAGGUGUUUUCCUAGAAUCAACUUUAACUUGCCAUAUACGAAUGAAAAUCUCUUUUGAUAUUGCAAGGUGACAUUUUACAGCGCAAAUAUUUGGCUAUUAUUGAUUAAUUUGUCGAUAUCAUAAUUGAAUUUGUUGUGGAUCGAGUGUUGAUUUGAGGAAAUUUGUAUAAUACGCAUACAUGAUUGUAUGCUUUUAGUUGAUAAUUUUUAUUCACUUUAUGUGUGAAGGACUUUAAGGGAAAUUAAAGGUAUUUAAGAAUUUAAUUUGUUUGCUUUUAAUGCAAGGAUAUUUAGCUUGAAUUUACGUUGACUAAUUAAAAGUUAAAUGAUUGAAUUUGAAGCUGAUUAGGUAUUUGUGAUUAUGAAUUAACAUGUUCUGGAAGUGGAUGAAAAUGGCGCACGAGACAACAAGAAGAUGAGAAUCAUACCAAGGCACAUUCAAUUGGCUAUUAGGAACGAUGAAGAGAAUCAUACCAGUUAAGCGAGGAGGCGGGUUUUGAGUAUUAUUGGUUGUUCUAAAAAUAUCAUCCUGUCUUGAUUUUAUGUCUUCUUUUCCUGUCGUACUUUAAGUAGAUUCUGCCUCUUUUAUGUUGCAGGUAACAAAACAACACAGUAAUGGCUGCAAAAAACUACUAGGAUUGAACGAUCCUGAAGAGAAGAUGAGAUUACUUCAGUUAGGGCAAGAGGAGGUUGCGAGAAUGGAGAGGGAGCGGCUAAAGUUUAAGUAGCGAGAAAGGUAUGCAGGCGUUGGAGAUGGAGAAGAAGAGGAAGAACAUCGCAAAUUCGAAGAAGAAGAAUCUUAGAGAAGGCUGUUAAACGAUUUUGUAGAAGAAUUUGAUAGAUAUACUUUUACUUUCUUACAACCACCAACUGCGACCACUGAAGCUGUGAGUAUGUGAUCACCACUAUUCAGCAUACUCUUGGAGACACCAAUGACCUGAAGUUGUGAAUAUUGGCAGAGUAUGUAGUCACCACUAAAGCUGUGAGUCUUGGCAGACUUCAUUUCCAAGGCAACUGGAACUGCUAUUGAUUAGGUUCAGAUGCCUCAGAUGAAGGCUUUGGAAUUAACGUGGCUCGAUUACUUGUAACUUAGGAAUUCAAUUGAUGCCUAAGCUCUUGAUCUCUUUCCUUUAAGACAUUCCAAUCCAAGCAGUUCCUUGCUAAAUGUUGCAGCCUGGCUGGAUUCGGUUGGGAUCUUUGCCAUUUCACAUCGUUGCAAUGGAGUGGAAGCUCGAGCCUGCGAUCUUGUUAGUUUAGAGCCCUCCAAGUUGAUUGGGAAGCACAUUUGAUAGAACCAAUUAAGAUGCAAUAGAUGCUGCAAUUAUUGGCAUGCUGGCUGAUCCUAAGGAGGCUAGGGUUGAUUCUCAACAGAUUCACUUUCUACCAUUCAACCCCACCGGUAAAAGAACAUCAUUGAUAAGGAUGGUAAAAUGCAUAAGGUCAGCAAAGGCGCUCCAGAACAGGUAUAUUAUCGAAGUCUUACUUACAUGUCCAUGGAAAUAAUCUAUCUAUACACGUUCUUUCUGGAAGCUCUAGAGUGGAGGAAAGAAAGGCUUGAAGGUCCAUGGAAAUUCAUAGGCCUCGUGCCUCUCUUAAGUGCAGAUACUUUUAAGAGGGAUUUAAAUAACGUAGUAAGUGUGACAAUUACUAACGGAGUCCUUAACAGUAAUGCCUUUUGCUUAGCCUAGAUCCAAACCCUUAAAUUAUGUUACUUUAUUAGGCUAAAAACUUCUACUUCAAUUCCCUGUAGUGAACUUUUGCUUUUUGUAAGGUCUUAACUGAGCUAGGCAUGUUCGUGAAUGAUUUCCUUAUGUGUACUUUAUUAGGCGAAAAACCUACAAAUAGUUUACAUAGUUAGAUGCUUACAAAUUCAUUGUAUCAUUUUAUUGAAAUAUAUUAAAAGAAGAAAGCAAAAGAGGAAUUACGAAUCACAGAGGAAGAUCACUAGCUUAGGUAUUGUUCCAAGGAAGGAGAAGCCUAGAAGAAAAGGUGACAACCGUUUGCGAACUACUAUAAAAUAGGGCUAUAGCAACAACCUAAAUGUGUUGGCAAAGAUCCAUUAAAUGUUGCCAUAGACCUAUAGCAACAGUUUAUAUGGCGUUGUCAAUAGGUGGCGCUGCUAUAGCUCUAUGGCAACAGUUGUUCUGCCUUAGGCAACAAUAUUAUAAAACUGCUGCCAUAGUUAUCAUUAGCAACACUUUUCUUAGGCAACGACUUUUAACUUUUGGCAACAGUUUUAUAAUAUCUAAGGCAACAUUUAUUAAGUUUUCGUAACAAUUAUUUAGGAUUUUAAGCAACAGUUUCAGGGUCCAAGCUAACGCUUUUAUUAUCUAAAGCAGCACUAUCAACAGCCUAUGGCAACAUUUAUUGCUCUAAUAUUGCAACAAUUUUGCAGUCUAUUGCAAUAUUUCUUUGAUACAACAUUACGACACUUUUACGUGAGCCUAUAGCAACGUUUCUUGCCACACUAUUGCGACAUUUUUAUGCGAGUCUAUAGCAACGUUUCUUGAUACAACUAUUGCGGCACUUUAAUACCCAACAAAUACAAACCUGGAAUACCCAAUAACUCCAGUGGAACCAAGGGCAUUGCUAGAAAUAGCAGCGCCAGAAACACUUCUUCCAUCAGGGGCACCAGCACCGGCUCUUGAGGCGGCAAACAUAAUGGACCCACUACUUCCUCCAGUUUCUAAGGUGGAGGAAAGUCCCGCAGCUCCUGAACCUGCAGAUGCCAAAAAGAAGAGUGCAAGUGGAAGUGGGAGAAGAAGCAACACCAGUUUAUGUUUAUGUCUCUCCUUAGUGGUGGCACUUACUCUCAGCUUGAUUCUAACAGUUCACUAGCAACAGACUACUUUUGAAGGCUGGCUUUUGCCGAGAUAUAUUGUAAAUGUUGUAUGCUCUAGUUUGAGAUUGUAACCCAAAAAAAAGAACAAAUAAUUCCCAAUCAUCAGUGAUAAUCUCUCGGUCGGUAAACUUGAUAUCAGAAGUCUUGUUUUUGAUGCACAAGUUGCUUGGAUGUAAAGUGGGAACAUAAACUCUUCCAUAGAACGAACAAGGGUCAAAACUAUCUUGCAAUCGAAUGAUUAUUGUACAAUACAACCUCAUUGUUAUUCAAGGAAAAUCACAAUAGGACUACAACAUUUUUUAAACAAUAUAGUAUCUGGAGAGCUACCUCAUUUUAUUUAUAUGGCAAGCAAACAAGUAUAUUAAUCCAAAGAAAUACAACCUAGUUCACCUAUUUACAUACUUAACUACUGUAUCUUUUUUUGAGGGGACUUAACUACUGUAGUACUGUAUCUAUAUUCAAUAUAAUCAUUCCAAAACGAAUUAUUUCUGUUCUGCUAAA